GACGAACGCUGGCGGCGUGCUUAACACAUGCAAGUCGAACGGAAAGGCCCUGCUUUUGUGGGGUGCUCGAGUGGCGAACGGGUGAGUAACAAGUGAGUAACCUGCCCUUGACUUUGGGAUAACUUCAGGAAACUGGGGCUAAUACCGGAUAGGAGCUCCUGCUGCAUGGUGGGGGUUGGAAAGUUUCGGCGGUUGGGGAUGGACUCGCGGCUUAUCAGCUUGUUGGUGGGGUAGUGGCUUACCAAGGCUUUGACGGGUAGCCGGCCUGAGAGGGUGACCGGCCACAUUGGGACUGAGCUACGGCCCAGACUCCUACGGGAGGCAGCAGUGGGGAAUAUUGCACAAUGGGCGGAAGCCUGAUGCAGCAACGCCGCGUGCGGGAUGACGGCCUUCGGGUUGUAAACCGCUUUCGCCUGUGACGAAGCGUGAGUGACGGUAAUGGGUAAAGAAGCACCGGCUAACUACGUG
rnacentral:rRNA from 1 species